UACGAAGGGGGCUAGCGUUGCUCGGAAUCACUGGGCGUAAAGCGCACGUAGGCGGAUUGCUAAGUCAGGGGUGAAAUCCUGGAGCUCAACUCCAGAACUGCCUUUGAUACUGGCGACCUUGAGUCCGGGAGAGGUGAGUGGAAUUCCCAGUGUAGCGGUGAAAUGCGUAGAUAUUGGGAGGAACACCAGUGGCGAAGGCGGCUCACUGGACCGGUACUGACGCUGAUGCGCGAAAGCGUGGGGAGCAAACGGG
rnacentral:rRNA from 1 species